rnacentral:rRNA from 1 species
CUGACUGCUAUCGGAUUGAUACUAAGCCAUGCGAGUCAUUGUAGCAAUACAAGGCAGACGGCUCAGUAACGCGUAGUCAACCUACCCUAUGGACGGGAAUAACCUCGGGAAACUGAGUAUAAUGCCCGAUAGAACAUUAUGCCUGGAAUGGUUUAUGUUCCAAAUGAUUUAUCGCCGUAGGAUGGGACUGCGGCCUAUCAGUUUGUUGGUGAGGUAAUGGCCCACCAAGACUAUUACAGGUACGGGCUCUGAGAGGAGUGGCCCGGAGAUGGGUACUGAGACACGGACCCAGGCCCUAUGGGGCGCAGCAGGCGAGAAAACUUUGCAAUGUGCGAAAGCACGACAAGGUUAAUCCGAGUGGUUUCUGCUAAAGGAACCUUUUGACAGUCCUAGAAACACUGUUGAAUAAGGGGUGGGCAAGUUCUGGUGUCAGCCGCCGCGGUAAAACCAGCACCUCAAGUGGUCAGGAUGAUUAUUGGGCCUAAAGCAUCCGUAGCCGGCUCUGUUAGUUUUCGGUUAAAUCUGUACGCUCAACGUACAGGCUGCCGGGAAUACUGCAGAGCUAGGGAGUGGGAGAGGUAGACGGUACUCGGUAGGAAGGGGUAAGAUCCUUUGAUCUAUUGAUGACCACCUGUGGCGAAGGCGGUCUACCAGAACACGUCCGACGGUGAGGGAUGAAAGCUGGGGGAGCAAACCGGAUUAGAUACCCGGGUAGUCCCAGCUGUAAACUAUGCAAACUCAGUGAUGCAUUGGCUUGUGGCCAAUGCAGUGCCGCAGGGAAGCCGUUAAGUUUGCCGCCUGGGAAGUACGUACGCAAGUAUGAAACUUAAAGGAAUUGGCGGGGGAGCACCACAA